GACGAACGCUGGCGGCGUGCCUAAUACAUGCAAGUAGAACGCUGAAGAGAGGAGCUUGCUCUUCUUGGAUGAGUUGCGAACGGGUGAGUAACGCGUAGGUAACCUGCCUUGUAGCGGGGGAUAACUAUUGGAAACGAUAGCUAAUACCGCAUAACAAUGGAUGACACAUGUCAUUUAUUUGAAAGGGGCAAUUGCUCCACUACAAGAUGGACCUGCGUUGUAUUAGCUAGUAGGUGAGGUAAUGGCUCACCUAGGCGACGAUACAUAGCCGACCUGGGAGGGUGAUCGGCCACACUGGGACUGAGACACGGCCCAGACUCCUACGGGAGGCAGCAGUAGGGAAUCUUCGGCAAUGGGGGCAACCCUGACCGAGCAACGCCGCGUGAGUGAAGAAGGUUUUCGGAUCGUAAAGCUCUGUUGUAAGUCAAGAACGGGUGUGAGAGUGGAAAGUUCACACUGUGACGGUAGCUUACCAGAAAGGGACGGCUAACUACGUG
rnacentral:rRNA from 1 species